GACGAACGCUGGCGGCGUGCUUAACACAUGCAAGUGGAGCGACGAACCAGACUUCGGGUCUGGGGCAGAGCCGCGAACGGGUGAGUAACACGUGGGUAACGUGCCUCGAUGACCGGGACAACCCGAGGAAACUCGGGCUAAUACCGGAUGUGCUCACAUCACAUCAGUGAUGUAAGUAAAGGUAGCUUCGGCCUCCGCAUCGAGAUCGGCCCGCGGCGCAUUAGCUGUUGGUGGGGUAACGGCCUACCAAGGCGACGAUGCGUAGCUGGUCUGAGAGGACGAUCAGCCACACUGGGACUGAGACGCGGCCCAGACUCCUACGGGAGGCAGCAGUGGGGAAUCUUGCGCAAUGCGCGAAAGCGUGACGCAGCAACGCCGCGUGGGGGAAGAAGGCCUGG
rnacentral:rRNA from 1 species